UCCUGACUGACCGAUAGUGAACCAGUACCGUGAGGGAAAGGCGAAAAGAACCCCGGCGAGGGGAGUGAAAAAGAACCUGAAACCGUGUACGUACAAGCAGUGGGAGCACGCUUAGGCGUGUGACUGCGUACCUUUUGUAUAAUGGGUCAGCGACUUAUAUUCUGUAGCAAGGUUAACCGAAUAGGGGAGCCGAAGGGAAACCGAGUCUUAACUGGGCGUUAAGUUGCAGGGUAUAGACCCGAAACCCGGUGAUCUAGCCAUGGGCAGGUUGAAGGUUGGGUAACACUAACUGGAGGACCGAACCGACUAAUGUUGAAAAAUUAGCGGAUGACUUGUGGCUGGGGGUGAAAGGCCAAUCAAACCGGGAGAUAGCUGGUUCUCCCCGAAAGCUAUUUAGGUAGCGCCUCGUGAAUUCAUCUCCGGGGGUAGAGCACUGUUUCGGCAAGGGGGUCAUCCCGACUUACCAACCCGAUGCAAACUGCGAAUACCGGAGAAUGUUAUCACGGGAGACACACGGCGGGUGCUAACGUCCGUCGUGAAGAGGGAAACAACCCAGACCGCCAGCUAAGGUCCCAAAGUCAUGGUUAAGUGGGAA
rnacentral:rRNA from 1 species